rnacentral:rRNA from 1 species
GACGAACGCUGGCGGCGUGCUUAACACAUGCAAGUCGAACGGAAAGGCCCUGCUUUUGUGGGGUGCUCGAGUGGCGAACGGGUGAGUAACACGUGAGUAACCUGCCCUUGACUUUGGGAUAACUUCAGGAAACUGGGGCUAAUACCGGAUAGGAGCUCCUGCUGCAUGGUGGGGGUUGGAAAGUUUCGGCGGUUGGGGAUAGACUCGCGGCUUAUCAGCUUGUUGGUGGGGUAGUGGCUUACCAAGGCUUUGACGGGUAGCCGGCCUGAGAGGGUGACCGGCCACAUUGGGACUGAGAUACGGCCCAGACUCCUACGGGAGGCAGCAGUGGGGAAUAUUGCACAAUGGGCGGAAGCCUGAUGCAGCAACGCCGCGUGCGAGAUGACGGCCUUCGGGUUGUAAACCGCUUUCGCCUGUGACGAAGCGUGAGUGACGGUAAUGGGUAAAGAAGCACCGGCUAACUACGUG